UGCGUAGGCGGUCUUGUAAGUUUGGUGUGAAAUCUCCCGGCUCAACUGGGAGGGUGCGCCGAAAACUGCAAGGCUGGAGUAUGGGAGAGGUAGGCGGAAUUCCUGGUGUAGCGGUGAAAUGCGUAGAUAUCAGGAGGAACACCUGUGGUGUAGACGGCUUACUGGACCAUGACUGACGCUGAGGCACGAAAGCGUGGGAGCAAACA
rnacentral:rRNA from 1 species